AUCAUAUCACGUUGAAACAUCGGCUCUCAUACGAUCACUGAAGUUAAGCAACGUCGAACCUUGUCAGUACCUGGAUGGGUGACCGCUUGAGAAUAUCAGGUACUGUAAG